CUUCUAUCCAGAGUGGUGGAGGGAUCUGGCCCUACGAAACCACAGCAACCGGUCGAAUGACCAUGGUGCUAAUUCCAGCAGAAUUUUUCUGGAAGAUAGGAG
rnacentral:ncRNA from 1 species